rnacentral:rRNA from 1 species
AUUGAACGCUGGCGGCAAGCCUAACACAUGCAAGUCGAACGAGUGGCGGACGGGCGAGUAAUGUCUGGGAAACUGCCUGAUGGAGGGGGAUAACUACUGGAAACGGUAGCUAAUACCGCAUACCAUCGGAUGUGCCCAGAGGGGAUUAGCUAGUAGGUGGGGUAAAGGCUCACCUAGGCGACGAUCCCGAGCUGGUCUGAGAGGAUGACCAGCCACACCGGAAAUGAGCCACGGUCCAGACUCCUACGGGAGGCAGCAGUGGGGAAUCUUGCAAAAUGGGCGCAAGCCUGAUGCAGCCAUGCCGCGUGUAUGAAGAAGGUCUUCGGGUUGUAAAGUACUUUCAGCGGGGAGGCGUUACCCGCAGAAGAAGCACCGGCUAACUCCGUGCCAGCAGCCGCGGUAAUAC